rnacentral:rRNA from 1 species
CUUCCCUCCGCCCCGACCCCGCUUUCCUUCCACCUCCCCCCGGCCACCCUCGCCUCCCUCCCCCCGCUCCGCCGCCUCGCCCUCCCAGCCUCGCCGCACCCCCGCGUCACUGCCUCCUCCUCCAUCGCCAAGUCGCUCCUCCAGCUCGAGCACGACUACUCCUGGGACGCCGAGUCCCAACACGGCCGCCGCCGCCGCGUCUUCGACCGGCCGCCCAAUUUGGCGGUUCUCUUCACGGCCGUCUCUGAUUUCGAGGAAUUCGGGGAGGCCACGGGCUCUGAAAAGAGGUUUCGUGGGGUUUUCGAGCCAGUGAGGGACCGACUUCAAUCCAGGGGCAUACAGGUGUGCUGGGUUGCCGUUGGUUCCACCGGCGAGGGGAUACGGAGGGCGGUGACAGACCUAGGGUGGAGGUUUACGACAGCAGAUGCAGUCACGUUGGGGUCGGCGGUUGCCCCGCCAGGGCUCGUCUGGGGAGGUGUUGGAUUUGGGUGUGGGGGAGGUGGACGGCGAGGUGAGGUAGUGUUGGAGAUCGCCGAUGUGAAAGGGAAGCCACUGGUCUGCAAGGGCUGCGAGGUUGAGAUUGUUAGCUCCACACCGUCGCAGGUGGGUAGCCAUGGUGUGUCCAGGAUACAUGUGAAGGCGGUGUGUGAGGUGGGGAAUUGCGAGCAGUUGAUGGGCAGAGAUGGCGAGGUUGUUGUGGUACGUGGGUUGCCACAUGAUAGGAGCAAGGGUGACGGUGAAGGAGCUGUGGACAGGGAGUUUUUCCCACAUCGGCUUCUGGAGUUGGUUCUUGCCGAUGAGGGCAAUUGCCUUCGGGCUGGAAUGCCUAUUUGGCAGCUCAUUCUGGUUUUUCUUCAUAGGAAAAAUUAUUGUGCAAUGGUUUCGAUUUCUGAUGGAGAGGAGAAGUCUGUAGACGGCCUUCUCGUACCUUUCUCGAUGAACUAUGCAUUACUGCAUGUCGACAAGAAUGGCACUGAUUUAGAACAGGUGGUUGCAAAGAGUCCUGAAACAUUGGAUAGUUCCAUGCCUGAUCCACCGAAGGAGCUGAGUGCGAGGAGGAAGAGAAUCAGGCUGGUCAGUAAGCUACUUGAGGCAGCCAGUUGGAGCACCUUCUGUGAUGUGCUCCUCAAACAUGCUGAUGGCAGCAUGCCAGUGGUGGAGUUGGAAGACCUGUAUUUCAGUAGGUAUGGCACUGCAUCCAAAAAGUUGCGGUUUCUGAAAUGUUGGCUGAAACAAGUGAAAUUGUCAUCUCUUGGUACUUCAUCGAGCCUUCAUACAGGCGAGACACGUCCUUCCUCAAAGGAUGAAGGAGAAGCAAAACUUCAAGUCUCAGAGGAGGAUGGGGCUCCUCAUUCGGUGGAUGAAGCAGAUUGUAACAAAGUUGACAAACCAGUGGAUGAUGCAGAUUGCAACAAAGUGGAGCAACAAGUGGACGAGGAGACUUCAGCAUUCUCUUCAAUGGAAGAUUUAGAAGCAUUUCUUGGGAGCAUUCCUCAGAAGAUUGAGCAAGGUCUUUGUUCUGAAGAUGCUGAUUUGGGAAAUCUAGCUGAACGCUUGGUUGGCUUGUCUGUCGAUGCGCUGAUGAUUAAGAAUGGAAAGAUUACGGUGAGAUAUUUUGAACACAGGGAAGUAGAUGAUGCUUCUGAUGCAAAACUUAUUUCCGAAGCUUCCAUUAUUCUGUUGAGGGAACCCAAAGAGCUUCUGUUGAAGUACAAAGACAACAAUUCAGCAUCUGCUGGAUCAGAACAAACCUCAAAAUACAACGUAAAUUACAAAAUCCGAGAGCAUGAACUACAGAUAUUACUUAGGUUGGAAAUAAUCAGGUCCAAACUUGGCCCAGGCUUUGAGGAAGGUUCAAAACAGAAGAUGAUAAAAGAGAUCUGCUCUCUUUUGCAGUUUAUUGAUAUAAACCUCCAAGGGGAUUCAUUUCAGUCUGACAGUAUUGUUAAGUUUGCUGAGAAGACUAUAAAGUCCAGGUAUGUCUGUGUUUUGAAUGCAUUGUAA